rnacentral:snRNA from 1 species
GUGCUCGCUUUGGCAGCACAUAUACUAAAAUUGGAAUGAUACAGAGAAAAUUAGCAUGGCCCCUGUGCAAGGAUGACAUGCAAAUUCGUGAAGCGUUCCAUAUUUUU